rnacentral:rRNA from 1 species
AUUGAACGCUGGCGGCAUGCUUUACACAUGCAAGUCGAACGGUAACAGGCCGCAAGGUGCUGACGAGUGGCGAACGGGCGAGUAAUGCAUCGGAACGUGCCCAGUCGUGGGGGAUAACUACUCGAAAGAGUAGCUAAUACCGCAUACGAUCUAUGGAUGAAAGCGGGGGACCGUAAGGCCUCGCGCGAUUGGAGCGGGCGAUGUCAGAUUAGGUAGUUGGUGGGGUAAAGGCUCACCAAGCCAACGAUCUGUAGCGGGUCUGAGAGGACGACCAGCCACACUGGAACUGAGCCACGGCCCAGACUCCUACGGGAGGCAGCAGUGGGGAAUUUUGGACAAUGGGCGCAAGCCUGAUCCAGCAAUGCCGCGUGCAGGAAGAAGGCCUUCGGGUUGUAAACUGCUUUUGUACGGAACGAAACGGCUCUGGUUAAUACCCGGGGCUAAUGACGGUACCGUAAGAAUAAGCACCGGCUAACUACGUG